AUGGCUGGCUGUAAAUAUGCGCGGUCAUGCCGGUUUUCUGUAUUGCAUAUUAUUUGGAGAUUGAACAAUGGCUUUGACUGCUGAAAAGAAAGCUGGAAUCCUGAAGGAAUUCGCUCGCGCUGAA
rfam:Endozoicomonas elysicola strain DSM 22380 scaffold00001, whole genome shotgun sequence.